CCUACGGGUGGCAGCAGUGAGGAAUAUUGGUCAAUGGACGCAAGUCUGAACCAGCCAUGCCGCGUGCAGGAUGACGGCUCUAUGAGUUGUAAACUGCUUUUGUACGAGGGUAAACCCCGAUACGUGUAUCGUUUUGAACGUAUCGUACGAAUAAGGAUCGGCUAACUCCGUGCCAGCAGCCGCGGUAAUACGGAGGGUGCGAGCGGUAAUCGGACUUACUGGGCGGAAAGCGCUCGUAGGCGGUAUGUCAAGUCAAGGGUGAAAUCCCCGCGCUCAACGUGGGCACUGCCUUUGAUACUAGCAAACUGGAGUGUGUGAGAGGAUAGUGGAAUUCCAGGUGUAGGAGUGAAAUCCGUAGAUAUAUGGAGGAACAUCAGUGGCGAAGGCGACUAUCUGGGACAUAACUGACGCUGAGGAGCGAAAGCGUGGGUAGCAAACAGGAUUAGAUACCCUAGUAGUC
rnacentral:rRNA from 1 species